CCGGACCCCAACGGCAGCAGCUCUACCCGGGUCCUCAGCGGCGCGCCACUUUCAUUCAGGUUCGACUCCGCGGCUCCCGGCGAACCCACAAUGCACUGCGACUUCCGCCCCAAAGGGCCCGCCCCCUUUCUUCCGAGGUCAGGCGAAAUGGAAGCCCCGCCCAAGUGAGGGAGGGGAAGCUGCUGAGAACUAGAUAGGCGGUUCCACCUGGCCCGCCCCCUUCAGCCCCGCCCCUGUAUCUCAGGGCGCCGGCCUCUGCCACGCCCCGCCCCUGUUUUGCCUUUGUGAGUACUCUAAUGACUGGUGUCUCUUUUUUUCCAUCUAAACCGGAGAAACCCCCAAAGUAGAAGGAAUCCAAGCUUCUUUCCACCUGUGGACUGACCUGCUACAUUCAGAAGGGUAUUUCACAGC
rnacentral:lncRNA from 1 species